ACGAGUGCAAAAAAAGAACACCUGAAAACGAACUCGUGACAGCAAUUAUCGGAUAAAAUUAAGUUAAAGGAUGGAACGUACCGUUAAAGCGCCAGCAUAUGGGGUGCCAUCGUAUCUACCUGUUUCGACUGGGAGGUUAUGGUUAGCUGUUCUGAUUUUGAACAGGCUACUUCGCUCACGCUGAGGCAAAAGUGUAAGAUCCGUAGGUCAGAAUAGGGAGCACAGUGUGGUCAAAGAGCUUUAUAAUGAGGUCGAUUGGGAGGCUGGCAUUGUUUGCCCUUGUGAAAAGGAACGUUUGAAGUGCUGUGUUGUGAAAAAUGGACUGUAGUUCGCUGGUUAUAAAUUCAACUGUUUCCUUGGAUUGAGGGUUACGCAGAGCGCCUCUCCCCCCUUGGGCCUAUUUGUGAGAGUUUGAGGGAUUUGCACAGCUCGUGUUCAGGGAAUCCAAAUGAACAUUGUUUUCAUUAGUGUUUGUGUGAGCAGUUUGGAGAGUUCUGGAAUUAACACCUGCUGCAGAUCGAUCAGUGUUUGUUUGGGUGUUCUUUGACUUUGAUGUCCAUGGGCGCUGGAAAGCGGAUUCCCCCGAGGCAGACGAUCUUUGGUUUAUCGGGGCGUGUGUGCGUCUUCUUGCUGGAGCAGGAGAUUCAGAUUGAGGACGCCUGGAAAUGUGUGUAUGUCCAUUUGACGAGGAGGUUAUUUUGUUGGUGUGGAUUUCCUGGACUGUUGGAUUUGGGGCUCCUUCAUAGUGCUCUAUGGACUGUGUAUUGUGGAUUUGACUGUGCUGCGUGACUUGUGGAGUGGGCACCUCAUCGCCAGAAGCGGGCUUAUGGUUCCCUUCAAAUUGUUGGGAUUUUGAACUAAGUGAUUUUGGACUAUAGUUGCUGUUUGGAGAAUAGUUGUGCUGCGUGGCAUGUGGAAUGGACGUCUCAUUGCCAUAAACAGAUUUGUGGUUCACUUCGUAUUGGUGGGGUUUCAAACUAAGUGAUUGGUGACUAUAGUUGCCGUUUGGAGAAUGGUGGACAUUGGUCGUGAUUCUGUCGCCAUUUAGGACUUGGCUCCAAUCAGGGAACAUGUCUGCCACGACACGACCAUCUGACACUAUCUUUGCUGGGAAGACAAUGCUUAUUUUGCUCUUUGGAUGCAUACCACGGAGUCUUUUGAGCUCUGGCCACAGAGUUUUGCGAGCAUUUACAAUCUCUUUUGGGAAGUCUCUAUUUAUGUGAAAAUUUGUAUUUCUUAAUUUAUUUGCAUUUGCCAAUAUAAGCUCUGUGUCUCUAAAGUCAAGGAAAUAAACGAUGAUAGCUCU